rnacentral:misc_RNA from 1 species
CCUUGUAGCACUUAUUUGGGCAAGAGGGUUUUCAUGGGAUUUUUCAGCUGAAGUCCUAGUGCUAAUGGUGGUUAGUGCUAUAAUAGGAGUAAUGGGCUAUUGGCACGACACAUACCCAUUUUGGACUUUUAUCUUGGCAUUUUCUUUUUACCCAUUAUCUCUGGUGCUCUUCUAUGUAAUUCGUUUUCUUCUAGGCUGGAAAUAAGGCUUGAAAGAAGUCUGACCCUAUGUAUAAUUGCGUGUUAUUGCGUUCUUCAAAUGUGUUGUAUUAUCUAUGUUGAUUUUACUUUUUCUAUUCUUUCGCAGUUUUGAGACUCUUAACACUAUUUACGUGAAACGAACGCAAUCAAUU